UUUAUAUAGCAGGGAAGAAAUAUGACAAUAUGCGAGAAAACGGGAACUAGAGGGGCAAGGAAGCAAUCAUGAUGAAUGAGGAGUCUGCCGUCUAUCUCAUUGUCUGGUUGUCGGGAUCUGGAUGCAUCUCUCAUGGUUGAAGAAGUGGUGGAGGAUGGCAUGGGAGAGAGUGCCUGAGGAUCCUUGCCUGGAACAAGUUAUGGAAAGAAAGUCUUACAGCUUGGGCUCUAGGAAAAGAGCCUUUUAUCCCACCUUGUCUUCCAGUCCAUUUUGAAUCAAGAAAGACUCAUUGAAGACUCCUUUGAGAAGAGUCUGUUUUGAAGAAGGAAAAAGAAAUACUGUUUGAGAGAAGGCAAACAGACAAAAAGGGUGAUAGAAAUAUGUAUUUUUGUUGUAUAUGUAACUCUAAGAGACCUUCCUAGAGUGAAGGUAGAGAACUGAAAAGGGAGUAAAUUAAGGAAUGCCUGAAUUUUGUGGGUCUUGAUGGAAAAACGCUGGUCUUCUUUUAACGUGGAAAAACAGCUGGUGCUUCAGUCCUAGGAAUUAUGUCUCUGCUGUGGGCAGUUGUCAUAAACUCUUCUCACAAUCCGAGCUGCUCUUUGUCCUCUGUGAAUGAAGGUACUUUUGCUUCUUUUUCAUCCAAGGAUGAAUGAAAAUGUAUAGCAUCUGCCCAAACCUGAAAAGUACAGUGUGUUUAUCACGAGAGCUUUGUAAGGUACUUCACUUGCACUUUAAAAUUCUUUAGUGCUCAAAACCAACCAUUGUGGGUUUUUGUCAAUAAAUACUAAUUUUUCAAGAUGGAGUAUGGUGAUUUCUAUUCAUAUUGUGGUCAAUUUUCUCAAUUUUGUUUCCCAUAGAUAGUGUGAUGGAACUUAAAUUUUAUUUUUUACACUUAAAUAACUAUGCUUUUUGUGAUGCGUAAUCAUAUGAUUUUCUCUUUUCCUUGAGAUCUUAACAGACCUUAUAUUAGUGUAUAUAUCAAAAUAAAAACUUUUAAAUAGUAAAUACGUUGUAAUAUUAAGGAUAUUGAUUUUUUUCUAUUAAAUGUUGAGCUUGGUGUUGGUAUAAACCCUGAUCCUAAACGGUAAAUUAAUACUUGGAAAUUAAGAGUGUAACUAUGUUAUAUAGAAAGCAUCUUGCGAAUUGGUUUGUGUGGGUGGUUUUUAAAUUUAGUUUUUAUUUUUAAUUUUUUUAGUAUGUAAUCAUACUCUUUCAGGAUUAUCUAAAGCACUUAUUGUAAUUGGUUGUUUACUUUUCUGCCUCCCCUACCACAUUGAGUGGGGAAAUAAAACCAAAUGAAUAUUUGGAAUCUAGUAUGAUCCACCCAAUAGUGAAUGCUACUAGGGUGGGAAUGAUUUCUGGAGAAUACUGGGGAAACUUGUAGAGUGUGUGACAAUUUAGCAAGAUGUAUAAGGAUGAGGAGGAAUUCCAAAAGCAGGUAGAUGGGGGAGCUCCAAGAGGGGAGUUUCCAGCUGAGUGCAAGUUGUAGAUCAUUUACUGUAGCAACAUCUUAGAGUAGAAGGCUGGAUGGUAGAAGAGGAGCUGCAGAGAUAAGCAGAGGUAGCUAGCACACAGUUAUGAGAAGUUGGCUGGAGAAUGAGAUUUGGCAAGUGCUCCAUGUAAUGAAGAUUUGUUUAAAGAAAAGAUGUGAUAGAAAAGGGCUGAGUUUUAAACUCCCCAAGUUGAAGAAGGUUAGAAGUUUUUAAACUUUAAAAGUGGCCAGAGAGGGAGCUAAUAGAAUAAAAGAGUAUAAUGGUGAGGGUUAUGCUGGAUGCAAGAAAUCAGUGUUUCACUAAAGAAGAAUGUUCAGUUGUGUCAGAUGUCACAGAGAGGUGCAGAAACAUAAAAAGUGCAAGGAAUCCUUCAGAUUUGGUGAAGAGUUGCCACUGGUAAAUUUGUCCAGAACAAUUUCAAUGGGGCCAGAAAACUCUGGAUUGUGAAGUACUCGGAGAUGAGAACAUGCAGGCAGUGAUUUUAUUUUAGAAGAAUUAUUUAUCUGUCUUUGCCUUUCAUUUAAAGGCACUUUCUCAAAAUUCAAGUUUCUGACUCAAUGAUAUAAUUAUUUAUAGGCUACCUUUCUGAAAAUAGUUCUAUAUGGGUUAAUUUUGUUAAUAUUAGUAUGUUGACAAAAGAAAGCAUAAAGGUUGAUAUGAUUAUUUUCAAACUGAGAAGCUGCUGUACCAAAGCUAGUUUAUAAAAUAAGGUUUUGUAUUUAUGGACUUACUCAUCUACUAUGUUACAGUAGUCUUUGUUUUGUGAAACUCCAAGGAAAUAUUUCCUACACAUUUCAGGUUAAGAAAGAAAAACAUGCAUUUAUUUUGUCUUAAACAUGAAAUAAUGUUUUAAGCAUUCUAAAAAGUACUUACAAAUGGAUUAAACACAUUGGCGUUCUCUAUAGUUUCACUCCAGUUCUUUUUUUUUGUGACUUGUUAUUCAUAGUCUUUGCAAUGCCGCCCUCUAGUGAUCGAUUUCCAAAAAUGCAUUAAUUAACUUGUAAGCCUGUUACAGUCUUUCUCUUUUGACUCUACUGAUCCUUUGCCACAGCCUUUGUUUGGUGUUCUCUUUUAUUGCUCUUCCAUUAGUUAUUCUUAUUCUCCUUUAAUGGCAUUAGGGAAAGAUCAGAAGUUUCGAGAGCAAAAAAAAAAAAAAAAAAAAAAAAGAUACAUAUAUAUACACAUUUGACUAUGAAUCCUUAAAACUUGUCCAUUUACCAGUCUGGGCAUAGAGCAAGUUACCUGUCCAGAGUUCUUACUGGGAAUGAAUGAGAAUGUCUUUGUGUGGCACCUGACACAGACAGCAAAGAGCAGGCAUUCAACAUAUACCAGCUGUCUCUUCCACCUUCUUCUCCCCAACAUUGCCGAGAGUAGGGAUCAGUAUUUUUUUUUUUAAACCUGCCCCUUCUCGUCUUAUAUAACAUCUCAAUGUGUUGUAAUUGCCUGUUUACUUGUUUGUGUUCUAUAACUUCUAGAGGUCAGGUAUCAUGUUUGGCUUGUACAUAUUUGUAUCUAGUAUUUAGCAGAGUCCAGUACACACAGGGUCCUCAUUGGAUACAUAUUUGUUGAAUGAGUAAAUGAAUUAAUGGAUGCCAGUUUUUAACAGGAACCCCAGACUGUGUUACCAACAUUUCUGUUAUUGAUUGAUUAUGCAGAUUGUUAAUGGGUAAUAUAUGAUAUAAUUAGAUUUUACCCAUGGCCUUUCAUAGAGUUAUUUAUUUUAUGACUUUUUCAGUUUAUUCUAUAGUUAUUGCUCUUCUCAGGUUUUGGAUAAUAUGAUAAUUUAUGUUUUCCUUAAGAAUUGUCAGUUUUGUUCAGUUUAAAAAAAUUAUUAGCAAACACUUAUGUAUAGAAUUUUCUUAUGAUAUUUGACUUCCAUAUGUGAUAAACCCCCUUUAUCAUUAUAUUUAUGUUAUGUCUUGUGUUGUCUGUUUUUAGAUUGUAAUUAGAUUGGAGGUAUAUAUGUAUUUUAUUGUUUUUUUUUUAAAGCAAUGGCCCUUACUUUGAAUUUUAUUCUUCUGCUUGCUAACUGAAAAAAUAAUUUUACCUAUGUUUUUGUCUUCCAGGUUUUUCUAACAACUUAGUACUUCCAUUUUUCUUUUUGUGCAAAAGCUUUUAUUACUCUAAAUUUGCUUCUAAAUUACAGAUUUGAGUAAAUGCCAUAUAAUAGAAGAUGCUGUUUUUGUUAUUUUCUAGAUUUUCAAUAAAAUGUAGCUGCAAUUUUCUCAUUGAUCUAAAAGUUACUUGAGGGUAUUUAAAAAUGAUGAAAUGUAUGUGUUUACAAUUGUUAUUUUCCAUUUUUAGUAUAAUAUAAUCAGAGAAUAAGGAAUGUACAGUUUCUGAUUUUUGAGAAUUAAAAUCUUUUUUGGUGAUACAUAUAAGAUCAGUAUUUAAAAUGUGCCCCAAGCACUGACAAAGAAGGUGAGUCCUCUGAAGGGUAUACAGUUUUAUAUAUUUAUUUAUUCAGAUCUCUUUUUUUUUUACGUGCUUCAGCUAUCAUGUAUUUAUGAUAAUUUUAUUAAAGUUUUGUAUUACUGUUGUGUGUUUGUCAUUUUUCUCAUUGUUUUUUAACGUUUUCUUGCUACAUUAUUUGAUUCUUAGAAGUUUGUGAUUGAUACCGUCAUAAUAUAUUUUACUUUUCAUCAAUUAAAAAUAUUCAAUCUUUUCAUUAAACAUUGCUUAUCAUGUGGAUAUCCAAAUGGGAAAAACAAUGAAACUUGAUCCCUGCUUCCCACCAUGCACAUUUGAUUGAAGAUCUAAAUGUGAAAAGUAAAAUAAUGAAGUCCCUAGAGGACAGUAUAAGAGAAUAUCUUACAUCUUUCUAUCAGACUGAUAGGAAGUAUCAGUACUUUAUAAUCUUGAAGUAGAAAAAUGUUUCUUAAACAGGACACACAACUCACAGGUAUAAAAGGGAAGAUUGAUAAUCUGGACCGUUGACCGUUCAAGAAUUUCUGUCAUCAAAAGUUACCAAUAAGAGAAAAACAAAACAGUAACAGCAGAUACUUGUAAUAUAUGUAUCUGACAGAUGGCUUAUAUCCAUACUAUGUAAACUCCUACAUCAGUAUAAAAGACAGACAACCCAAUAGAAUAAAUGGGAAAGAGAUUUGAGCAGUCAGUUCAAACUGUAAAGACAUAAUAUUAACACUCACCAGAAUGGCUAAAAUUAGAAAGAUCAACAGUACUAAGUGUUAGCAGAAAGUGGAGAGCGAUGCACCUCUGUUUUUGCUGCUGGUGGGAAAAUAUAAAUUGUAAAAAUCACUUCUGAAAACUAGCGACACCUACUAAAGCUGUGGGUAUGUGUAUACAUACAUAUAUCCAGCAACUUCGAUAGGAAUUCAUGCAGAUACCCACUAAAAGGCAAGCACAGUAACGUUCAAAGUAGCAUUAUUUGUAUUAGCCAAAACCUGGAAAAAAAAUGGCCAUCAACAGUAAAAUGGGUAAACAGAUUAUGAUAGAUUUAAUUUAGUGCUGUAUAGUAAUGCGUACAGCAAUAAAAAUGUGUGAAUUGCGGCCCCAUGCAACAACAAAGAUAAAUUUCACGAACCGAUGUUGAUCAAAAUAAACUAGACACAAAUACUUACUGUGUAUGAUUCCCUAUAUAAAAUUCAAAAGCAGGCAAAACUAGGAAUUUAAAAACUAUAAAAUUCAAAAGCAGGCAAAACUCGUUAUUAGACCUCAGGUUAGUGGCUACUUUUAUGGAUGAGGAAGGGGCAGGGAUUGGGAAGUGGUAUUGGGCUUCUAGGUAUUAGUAGUGUUCCUUUUCUUGACUUGGGUGGUGGUUACAUGGGUAUACUGACCUUGAGAUAAUUCAGUGAGUUGUAAAAUUUAUGAUUUGUGAGUUUUUCUGCAUGUAUGUAUGCUUGAAUAAAACUCAAAUUACGGUAAGCAAAAAAUACUGCUUUAGUGUGAGGAUAUUAUUAUUAAAUAAUAUUAAAAUAACUAGAAAUUCAGUGAAACUUAACCACAAUUGUAUUACCUAUUGAAAAUGUCAGUGAAUAAUAACCUCUGCUAAUCGUUUGCCUAUAUGUUCUCACAUUCAGUCCUACCUCUUCUCUAUCCUCUGUAUGGCAGGGUAC